rnacentral:rRNA from 1 species
AUUGAACGCUGGCGGCAGGCCUAACACAUGCAAGUCGAGCGAGCGGCGGACGGGUGGGCAGUGGAUGAGGAUCUGUCUGAAAGAGGGCGAUCACUACUGGAAACGUUGUCUAAUACUGCACACUAUCGUAUGACUCUAUAUGGGUUUAGCUAGUAGGGGGGGUAGCGGCCAACCUGGUCGACGAUCUCUAGCUGGUCUGCGAGGAUGAUCUGCCAGACUGAGACUGAGACACGGCCCAGACUCCGACGGGAGGCAGGAGUGGGGAAUAGGGCACAAGGGGCGCAAGCCUGAUGCAGCCAUGCCGCGUGAAGGAAGAAGGCCGUAGGGUUGUAAAGUACUUUCAGCGGGGAGGCGUUACCCGCAGAAGAAGCACCGGCUAACUCCGGGCCAGCCGCCGCGGUAAUAC